rnacentral:tRNA from 1 species
UCCCCAGUGGCUCAGUGGUAGAGAAUCUGCCUGAAGUGCAGGAGACCCGGGUUCAAUCCCUGGGUUGGAAA